AUUAUAAUAGUUUAAAUUAAAAACAGGAGUUUUGUAAACUCCAAUUGAAUUUUCUUAUAAUA
rnacentral:tRNA from 1 species